UUGGGAAUAUUGGACAAUGGAGGAAACUCUGAUCCAGUGACGCCGCGUGAAGGAAGAAGGUCUUCGGAUUGUAAACUUAUUUUAUCAGGGAAGAAGAAAGUGACAGUACCUGAAGAAAAAGGACCGGCAAACUACGUGCCAGCAGCCGCGGUAAUACGUAGGGUCCAAGCGUUAUCCGGAUUUACUGGGUGUAAAGGGCGAGUAGACGGCGCUGUAAGUCAGCUGUGAAAACUUAGGGCUCAACCUUAAGCCUGCAGCUGAAACUGUAGUGCUAGAGUGCAGGAGAGGUAAGCGGAAUUCCUAGUGUAGCGGUGAAAUGCGUAGAUAUUAGGAGGAACACCAGUGGCGAAGGCGGCUUACUGGACUGUAACUGACGUUGAGGCGCGAAAGUGUGGGGAGCAAACA
rnacentral:rRNA from 1 species